rnacentral:rRNA from 1 species
UACGUAGGGGGCUAGCGUUGUCCGGAAUCAUUGGGCGUAAAGCGCGUGUAGGCGGUUCGGUAAGUCCGCUGUGAAAGUCGGGGGCUCAACCCUCGAAUGCCGGUGGAUACUGUCGGACUAGAGUACGGAAGAGGCGAGUGGAAUUCCUGGUGUAGCGGUGGAAUGCGCAGAUAUCAGGAGGAACACCAAUAGCGAAGGCAGCUCGCUGGGACGAUACUGACGCUAAGGCGCGAAAGCGUGGGGAGCGAACAGG